GUCUGCACCUCCCUUAGACCUCAUUUAAGGGCUGACUGCCCCUGGGGAAGGAUCUCUGGUUGGAGAUCUUUCCCUUUCUGGAGAUUUUCCUGUGAGCCUUGAUCUUCAGAGAUGGGUUGUUUACCUGUCCGUAGCCAGAUGUUCUGGACAGCAAAAAGCCACAUUGGGCUAGAGACUGAGGAAGAGAGAACAGGAUCAGAAAAAAAUGCCAGGAGAAUAGGGAGAUAACAGAAAUCUAUAGGAUGGAAAAAAAAGAAAGAACAGCUUGUCAUCUCUGCAGCCUGCUGGCUCUAAUGCAACUCUGCCAAGCUAAAAUCCACUUCAUCUACAGUAACUUGAUGAUUUUACAGUAACUUGAUGGUGUACAGUAAUCCUCUUGACCUCCUGACUUCAGCAAAAUAAAUCUGAAUGUUUUGAACUCUUA